AUGCUGCACGUCCCCUCUCUGUGCCCUGGCACCCGCUCGGGACGAGGCCGGGCUGGCGGGGAGAGGUUUUGCUUUGAUCCGAGCGAACAGGAGCGGGGGAAAACCCAGGAGAGCUUCGGGCACCCGCGCGUCCCUCCCCUGGAGACCCCCGUGGGGGCGGGGGGCUGCUCCCCACCUGCAGCAGCACCAGCCUGCCAUCCCUCCUCGAUCUGCGCCAACGCGGCGCGGGGCAGGAGGGCAGCACCCGGCCGGGGCAGGUCUGCAGCAGCGAAGGAGCCGGCUCUCGGCAUUCCCAUUUUUGGGAACGGCUCUCCUCGACUUCGGGCUCGCUUCUCGGAGUCGGCCUGGCCUCGUGACUCCCCUCCUUCUCCGCCUGCCCCACGGGACGCCCGUCCCCAGCAGCGUGGACCCGCAGCUGGAGCAGGAGUGCAGGAAGGAGUGGAGAGGAGAAGCAACCCAGGCGCUGCUCUGGCAGGCGCCCAGCACGCCCAGCACCCCGGGGACCGGGGGGGCGCAGACGCCGAAAAACUUCCUGAGGCAUCCACGGCCCCAGCCCAGCCAUCGCUCCGGGUUUUGCAAAGUAUUUUAAGGCAUAAAGCCCCCAGGGAUCCCCCACAUCCUCGUUUGGUCCCGUCUCCAGCCAAAUCCCUGGCAGAGGGGCUCGAGCUGCCAGGCAGGGCAGCCCGGAUGGGUUCGAGGUCCAUAUUCGCUGGGGUGGGAGCAUGUGCGGCUUCUGGGGACGGAGUGGGAUAAGGAAAAGGAUAAAACUCGUUGUGGUUGGCGUGGCCGUGCCCUGCGUUUCCAGGGCUCCUGCAUUUUCCUCGCAAAGAGAAACACUCGUUAUUUUUUUUUCCCCAUCCUGCAGGAUUCGGCCCCAGACAGGCUCCAGGCCGUGCUGAUGCAGCUUUGGGGCACUGCUGCGGGGCGCUUACACCCUGAAUCGAGAGUCCCCUGCACAAUUCAGUCUGCCAUACGAGUUACGUGUCCCUAGGACCUUCCUUUUGCCAGCAGCCUUGCAGCCGGGACCCAGGGGCUUGCCAGGCAGCACCGUCACAGAUGGGGCCACCCCUGCUCCGUGCCCAAACAGAGCUAAGGGCUCCCCCAAAACCCCUCUCCAACCCAUUUUGUCACCUCCUCGGCACUCCGGCGCUGACCCCCAGAUGCUCCGGGUGACUAAUCCCCGCAAUUAGCCUCCUUUCGUGCAGCGGAGCAGCUUCCUGCCUUUGUCUUCCCCCUGACAGCCUCUGCGAGCAAAGACGCUUUUAGCCACAUUUUCCUGGCUCGGGCUCUGCCGCCAGCCUCCGUCCUGAGGAGCUGGGAGCAGGGGGACCGUCCCCCGAUGUCCCCCGAUGUCCCUCGGUGUCCCCCGGCACGCAGCGGUGGGCCAGAGGCACAGCUUUUAGGAUUCGCUCUUUAAAUUGAAGACCGCUGCGGACCCCGGGAGAGUUUCACGCCCAAAGGGAUUUGGGGGCUGGCUGGGGACAGAGCGCUCGGGCUAUCCGAAAAUUCAACGCGAAAUGGGGAAACACAUGGGCAGCACAUUUGGGGAGCCGCCCGCUCCUCCCAACCCAUUCCCAGCCCCACGGGCCGUGCUGUGCUUGGGAUUUUGGGGAGCUUUUGGGUACCCCCAUCCCCAGAGACUGGGGUCCCUCCCCCGCGACAGCUGGGGUGCGCCCGUGGCCAAGGCUGGGCCCCCGCACAAAAAGAGGAAACGCGAGGCUUAGGCAAGAGCGGAGGGUUUUUUGCUCUUGUAACCCAAACCGCGGCGUGCCGGAGGAGCUGCAGCUGCAGAAUAGAUCAGUGGUGGAUGUACCUCCUGGGGAGAAGCAUCCUCACCCCCCUGCAGCAGCCGGGGCGGGCUCCAAGCAAAAUAAAAACCCUUUCCUGGCCGCCGGACUGAGCUCG
ensembl:lncRNA